GAACUAACUCAUGGUCAAUCUUGUUUCAGCUAUGCUUCCAUCCACUCUUCCUUACCAACUGGAUUAUUCUGAAGGAAAUUCCAGGCAUCAUAUCAUUUCAUGUAUUAGUGACCCUGUUAGUGAAGGAACCUGGCCUUACCUUCUGUAGGACUGGAAAAGAAUCCCAGGCAAUUAGGGAGUUAACACCCCAUGGGUGAACUUUGGCCAGUGCAAGAUAAGAGACAGGAAGGAACCAGGAAAAAAUCUUCUAUCAGUUUCACUCCUCAGUGGACCAUUUUAAGAGAUGGCAAUCCAGGCAACCGUCAUUUUCCCAGGAUCGUCUCCAUCAGAAGGGUGAAGAGCAGUACUGUGAAUUUAUGUAUUUAAUAAGCUCUCCAAGUGAGUUUUAUGAUGAAGCAAGUAUGGCAGACAUUACC